rnacentral:rRNA from 1 species
GACUCUCGACAACGGAUAUCUCGGCUCUCGCAUCGAUGAAGAACGUAGUGAAAUGCGAUACUUGGUGUGAAUUGCAGAAUCCCGUGAACCAUCGAGUUUUUGAACGCAAGUUGCGCCCGAAGCCUUCUGGCCGAGGGCACGUCUGCCUGGGCGUCACA